ensembl:snRNA U6 U6 spliceosomal RNA
GUUUUUGAAACUCGCUUCAGCAGAACAUUUACUAAAAUUGGAAUGAUACAAAGAAGAGUAACAUGGCCCCAGAGCAAGGAUGACACACAAAUUUGUGAAGUGUUCCAUAUUUUU